rnacentral:rRNA from 1 species
AAAAAUUUAAUGGUCGAACAGACCAAAACUCUAAGCUUCUACACCUAAAAUUACUUUUAAUCCAACAUCGAGGUCGCAAUCUUUUUUAUCGAUAUGAACUCUUUAAAAAAAUUACG